UACGUAGGGUGCAAGCGUUAAUCGGAAUUACUGGGCGUAAAGCGUGCGCAGGCGGCUAUGCAAGACAGAUGUGAAAUCCCCGGGCUCAACCUGGGAACUGCAUUUGUGACUGCAUGGCUAGAGUACGGCAGAGGGGGAUGGAAUUCCGCGUGUAGCAGUGAAAUGCGUAGAUAUGCGGAGGAACACCGAUGGCGAAGGCAAUCCCCUGGGCCUGUACUGACGCUCAUGCACGAAAGCGUGGGGAACAAACAGG
rnacentral:rRNA from 1 species